rnacentral:rRNA from 1 species
UCAUGGCUCAGAUUGAACGCUGGCGGCAGGCYUAACACAUGCAAGUCGAGCGGUAGCACAGAGAGCUUGCUCUCGGGUGACGAGCGGCGGACGGGUGAGUAAURUCUGGGAAACUGCCUGAUGGAGGGGGAUAACUACUGGAAACGGUAGCUAAUACCGCAUAACGUCGCAAGACCAAAGUGGGGGACCUUCGGGCCUCAUGCCAUCAGAUGUGCCCAGAUGGGAUUAGCUAGUAGGUGGGGUAAUGGCUCACCUAGGCGACGAUCCCUAGCUGGUCUGAGAGGAUGACCAGCCACACUGGAACUGAGACACGGUCCAGACUCCUACGGGAGGCAGCAGUGGGGAAUAUUGCACAAUGGGCGCAAGCCUGAUGCAGCCAUGCCGCGUGUAUGAAGAAGGCCUUCGGGUUGUAAAGUACUUUCAGCGAGGAGGAAGGC